rnacentral:misc_RNA from 1 species
GUCUCUUGAUCCCAAGAUACAAUCUUUAUCUCUCAAUCGACCAUUUCAAAUUUCUAGAUUCCGCUCUUACAUGGCCAAGUACGGAGAAGGCGAUAAGCGCUGGAUCGUAGAGGAAAGACCAGAUGGUGCCAAUGUCCAUAAUUGGCAUUGGGCAGAGACCAAUUGUUUGGAAUGGUCGCGGAAUCUCCUCUCUAAGCUUCUUUCUAAUCUCGUUAUUCUUGACGGCGAAGGAAACCUUUUCAUCAAGAUCAAGAAGCUCGAGAAGGUCGACGGUGAGGCCUACGUUAAUGUUCGCAAGGGUAAAAUCAUUCCUGGAUAUGAACUUAAUGUUUCCCUUUCGUGGGAAGGUGAAGCUAAGGAUUCUGAUGGGAAAUCUUUGCUUAAAGUUGAUGGAUCUGUGGAGAUCCCGUAUAUUUCGGACGAGAAUGC